GUCCCUGCGUGUCCCAGGUCUCACCUCCACCCUCACUGCAGCCCAGUCAGCCCAGCGAAGCCAGGACACUGUGGAGAUGCCUGGACCUGGGCAGGAGGCAAGAGAUAGCCCUACUGUGUCGGAUGCUGCUGUCUGAAGUCACCCAGAGCCCACAUCAAAUGGAGAGAAGGGCAGGGCUGCUCUGAAGGUGGCGGAGGGUGGGGCACACAUGUCUAGUUGGAUAAACGGUGUCUCCUGGGAGAAGCCAAGCCCCAGUUGACCAAGAGGCUCAGGGCCCAGGAGAGGGAACAGGCACAAAAGCAGAGGACCUGGGCUUUGGGAUGGGAAACAACGGGCUGCUGACUGCUCUUCUCAGUCGGCCUCAUCCGGGCCCCACUUCAGCCCCUGGGGUCCAGCUGUCACAAGAAUCCCACUAAGGCAGCUUCGAGCCAAUCCCCGCCCUGGACGGGGGAUCUCUCUGCCUUGAGCAAGAAUCUGUGAAGUCGGUUUAGCACCAAUCUCCCUGCCCUGAUGCCUCCCCCUUGUCAUUUUCCAUCCAUCCACCAAGCCCCUACCCGGCUCCCGGGCUGUGAACCCCACUUGUCCUGGCAUCUGGGAUGGAACCGUCUCUCUCCCCUAUGCAAUAGUCUUGAAUAAAGUCUUCCUUGCCAAGGGUCAGAAUAAAUAAAUUUUCUUUACCAGGGCCCCUCCUUUCCUGGUCACACCAACCCAAACCCCGAGGAGGAGAGGGAAGCCAGAGCCCCACCAUUCAGGGGCCAGCCCGAGGUCAUCGGCUGUCACCUCCUAAGUGCACCCAGCUGACGGGCGUCCCAGAGACCACCAA